GAUGAACGCUGGCGGCGUGCCUAAUACAUGCAAGUCGAGCGAACGGACGAGAAGCUUGCUUCUCUGAUGUUAGCGGCGGACGGGUGAGUAACACGUGGAUAACCUACCUAUAAGACUGGGAUAACUUCGGGAAACCGGAGCUAAUACCGGAUGAUAUUUUGAACCGCAUGGUUCAAAAGUGAAAGACGGUCUUGCUGUCACUUAUAGAUGGAUCCGCGCUGCUUUAGCUAGUUGGUAAGGUAACGGCUUACCAAGGCAACGAUGCAUAGCCGACCUGAGAGGGUGAUCGGCCACACGGGAACUGAGACACGCUCCAGACGCCUACGGGAGGCAGCAGUAGGGAAUCUUCCGCAAUGGGCGAAAGCCUGACGGAGCAACGCCGCGUGAGUGAUGAAGGUCUUCUGAUCGUAAAACUCUGUUAUGAGGUAAGAACAUAUGUGUAAGUAACUGUGCACAGCUUGACGGUACCUAAUCAGAAAGCCACGGCUAACUACGUG
rnacentral:rRNA from 1 species